UCCAAACUUGUAGAGAUUUCAGCAAAGAGGCGCUAGGCAGGGAAACGUCCCACAGCUGGCUUGGCUCAGUGAGGCCGCCCAUGCAGGAGCAUUCCAAGAUUAGGCAAGAAAGCA
rnacentral:lncRNA from 1 species